CUUCCCUCUAAAAGGAACUUUCUCUACAAGAGAAUCAGUUUAUCUCACUUUCCAGUGAGACUCUUCCCUGAGUAAUUCAAUCAGAGGACAUUCAGCUGCGUAUAACCCAGCUCUGUGGUGUGCUGUAUGAGUCAAUGCUGCUCCUGAAUGUCUCAAAGAUGCAUGCAUAUCUUCUUGCCAUUCCCAGGACACAAGUACCGUGGAGAGGCUUAGUAAUUUAUUUUUUUUCCAGAAAUCUCUUCUAAAUAGUCUGUCCACCUCAAGCAUGCUGCUCCACACUGCACUUAUGCAGUCCUGGGAGAGCAGCAGAGCAAGCGACAUCACUGCCAAGCUCAUCAGUGCUGCCAGCUUGUGCCAAGAACCAUUUCUGAGCUAGCAUGGCCCUGGAGAUGACAAGGGGAGAAACACAGCAGACUGGAGAGAGGCUUCCCUGGUGAGAGGAGAGCUGUGGUAGCCCUGGGGCUGUCAAGCAUGGCUCUGGCCCCAGAUGACAGGCAUUAUAUAGAAGCCCGUCUCCUGGCCUAGCUUCCACUUCUCCUUCUCCACCAGGGAGCCUGUCUCCUGGCCCAGCUUCCUUCGUCCCCUCCCUCUUGCUCCCAGCCAUGCAUUUGCUCCCAUUUCCCUCCUGUUCCACUCCCAACUGGAAAAGCACUGAUCGCUUUCUUUCCCAAAGGGGAUCGCAUGACAUCCCUCUGGCAACGGCACCAAUUAAGUGUGAAGAAAAGGAACGUUAGGAAAAUGUUAAUAGAUUUUGACUUCUUCUAAUGUAAUUCAGAGCUGGAAACAACAAAGCAAGACUGAAGGAAGUAGGCUGCCAGCACCCAUGAACCAGCAGCUUUGUUUGGGAGCUGGAGCCACAGGGACAGGCGGGAGAAGAAGGCAGAGUGCUUUGGAAAAGGUGACAGCAUACUCAGGAACUGCUCUCUGACUUCCCAGAGUGAGAGCAGCACUGAUUGGUGCCAAAGGAAGAAGUGAUGAAAGAGAUUUGCACGGACACAAAGAGGAAGGAGCUGAAAAAAUGAUAUUCUGAGUCUAAUGCUUAGGAAAGCAUUUAUUGAAAAGAACAAAGAGGUGUGCUGAGAGGCCAAAAGACCAGGAAGCCAAACUGGGGAUACUGAGCAGGUCAAUCACAUCUAAAUGCUCAGUGCUCCUGGAGACUUUGGUUAUAUUACUUAAAGAAACUGGAAACAUCAGUAACUGACCUAAUAUCUCCAUGAGCAUAAAUGAAGUGCGUUUGGCUCUCCACAGUGGCAAGAAUACAGCUGGAAUUCAGAUCAGUAAAAAACACCAGAUCGGAAACACCCUUAUAAAUACUGCCACCAUGACCUGCAGGAAAUGGAAAAGAUAGAAAACGCUCAGGGCUCAGCACUAGAUAGUACACCGUACCAGUCAGCGAUAGGUAAUUACAACAUUAAGAGUGCCUGCUCCUGGUCAUGGAAGCACUGGCACGUGAAGCAAGAUGGGCCUGGGGACUCAACACUGCCAAGGGUCCUAUUUCUGGUGCUUUUUUUUUUUUUUUUUUUUUUUAAUCAGGGUGUCAUUGGAAGAACACGGGGAGAAUGUGUUGAGCCGCAGGAAAAAAUAGCUUGGUACAGUGCUUUUAAUUUUUAUCAGAGGACAUGGACACAUAUUCUCAGAUCUUCAUUAGAUGACAACUGAAACGUAACGGCAGUGAAUGCCUUCAGUCAGUAACUAGGAGUACUUGUAAAAGCAGGCAAUUUCCCCUGACUGGAUUUUACUAUCAGCCAGCUACUGAAAGGUCAUAACCAUAAGUGCAGCAUCACCCACGGUUGCUGCAGCCCUGAGAAAAGUGAGGGAUCACAUAUUCCAGGUGAUCUCCUUCUGCUGCAAGCUGAUGUGAGUGUAAAGAGUGGGGCGAUUUCCUGUGAAACACCGCUGCUUUCUGUGACAGAUUGCCUACGUUUCUUGUGCUUCCAGCAGUGAGUUGAAACAUCUGAAGUAAAACUCCAAAAACAAAGUUGAAACACAGUCUUCUCUUCAACUAAUUCUGCCUCGCUUUCUUUGGUAUGAGAGAGGGAGAGGAGCUGAAGAUACUGAUUUCUACCUCUAAGCAUGUAACCUAGAUACAUGACAAGGCUAUUCCCUGAGCUCUCUCUGAGACAAAUUAAGUCAGAUUUUCUGCUGCAUAUUUUGAAUGGGAAAAGUUGGGACAAAUCUCCGAGCUCAUCAAUGUUUGUAUUUAAAAAUUUAUUAGAGGCCAUGCUGACAGUGGAGGCACGGUACAUAGAGGCAGAACGUCAGUAUUUAGAGGCAUUCUCAGCUAUAAAAGCUGCCUACCUUUGCCUCCCAAGCCAUUGCAUGGAGACUGCUGAGCUGGGGUUGGCUUCAGGCAAGCUGUCAUCUAAAAAGAGAGAGCAGGGGGAACAGUGUACAAAAAUUCUCUGCUUUUUGCUGCCGAAGAUUUUGCUUGUAAUUUAUGGAAUCUUUAGAGGAUUCCAGGCUUUAACUCACAACUUUCUGUAAAUCCACAGAUAUAUGAUACUAAUUCAGAUGACAUUUUUGGGCAGGAAAUUCAGCAAUGGAAAUACACUGUAUGCAAAAUCAGUAUGUGAAUAUGUAAACAAAUAAUAUUGGCUUUUUACACUGGUACAGCUCAGAAACCACCCCAUGUGACAAAAGAAUUUUUCCUUUUGUUUAAUACCUUUUCAAAAUCAAUUAAAAUCACAUCUUUAUUGUGAUUUCAGACCUGAUGUAACUCAGUUCCACAAACUCCUUGCAUCAGGAACAACAAUUUUUGACAUUCUGAAACAUCAUUGCAAACAUACACUGAAAACUCAUUUGUCAUACUGAAGUAGAACAAAUGUAUGAUUGGAAGCAGCACAGACUGUAAUGACUUCUGAAUAUGUCCCACAUUUUUACACUCGAUGUAUUCCAUGUUUGUCAAUCUACAUUUGCAAUGCUGGAACUGGAAUUUAUUAAGGUAAAUCAGGAGCAAUAUGGAGAUUCAUAUUUCAGAUUUUUGAACCAUUCUCCCACGUGAAAUCAGAAUAUAAGUAUCUCAUUGAGGCUGAUUAUUCCCAUCACUGCUUUCUGCAGUUUCCCUGAUUUCCCAACCAGCUGAGAAAAUAUUUUGCUGUGAAACAUCUGUCUGAGGAAUGCUGGGAGCUAUGAAAUAGCUGGUGCAUCCUCUGAAGUAGGUGGCUUUGAAGCAAAGUAACAUAGCUUUAAACAAUUCCAAUAGACUGAAAAAUAUUUAACAGAAGCUCACCAAAGACUAUCCAAGAUCCUGUAGUUGCUGUCAUAGACUUCUCCGAGUACGUUGCCCUGGCACAUGCAGAUGUAACUGAGACUGUGCAGGUAUUUUGGGCAGAAAAGUACAACUCCAGCAGAAAAGCAGUGAGGGGAUAUACAUGGAGGCAAAGAAGGAGUUGUAAAAACAAAGAGUAGUGGAAAAUCAAAAGCAAAGAAAAUGUGUUUUGUCCAGCUUGCAGUUUUUCUUCCACAAAUGUUUCUCAGAGACAGUGAGAGUCUUUCUAACUCUGCUGCAAUUACCCCAGAAAGAACUUUAAAUUGACAGAAAUGCAGGAAACAGCAAACACUUUGCCACAUUGGAGUUUAGAUGAUUAGAUAGAUAGAUAGAUAUACUGACAGACAGAUAGAUUAAUAAAUAAGAGAAAACAGAGAAUAAGUAAUUGAAGAUCAAAUCAAGUCCUGAGAUUAUUUCAUUCAUGAUAGUUGUGGGUCAAACCUUGGCACAGAAUUCAGCCCAGCAUUUGCUCACACAUGGUUAAAGCACCAUCAGCCAGGGACACCACUGCCAACUGAAUUUCAGGUAUCUAAACAGUCUCUUUCAGUUCUCUACACAGUUAGUUGUACCUGGCUGAAUAAGAGUGUUUAUCCUUUCUUGAACACAAGAUUAUCUUUCAGGUGACUGAAGAUUUCUGCCUUUAUUCCAGCACUAGUCGCAAUAAUUGGAAAGACUGAUUGCUACAGCAACUGAUCACAAGUAGAUGCAAUUGUGGCACAAUGGAAUGAUCACAGAUAAACUCCAAAGUCAGUGAAGAAAGCCAAGAGAGAUGUCACAAGAAAAUAGUGUAAGAAGAAAAGAGGUUAAAAAGCAGAGGUUCCUGGAAAAAGGCAUCAACAUAACUUAUGUCACUGUGGGAGAAAGAAGUAAACUGUUGCAAAGAAUUAACUUGAUUAAGUGAGGAGUCCUUCAUUUAUUAAGGACACAUUGAUACAAGAGUAGCAGGUAGAAACGUGAGAAAUGUUCUAUUAAGGUUCAAAUUUAUAAAUACGUUCACAGAUAAGAGGAAAAGCAAAGAAAAGAUAAGCCACUAAGCAGCUGAGGUGAGAAAUUAUUGAGACAUUGCUCUGAGAAAGUAUGAAAGUAAGCUGCAGAGAGUAAAGUAAAUCCUAGUGACAGACAAGAAACAUAUCGCAUUUUUGACAGGGAAAGAAUAGGUUAAAAGUAUUUUCAAAAGCCUCAUGUUUUCAGAUUGACCAGUCUUGACAUGAUGUCAUCAUACAGAAUUUUAAGGAGCUGGUUGAUUAAAUCUCCAUUCAUUAUCAAUUACUUUUGAAAAGUCACAGAAAAUAAAAUGAGAUGUUCAAAACCAAGCAUAGGGCAGACGUGUCAUCUACCUUCAAGGAAAUUAAAUACAUUCAUAUGAAAAAAGACAUCAAGGAUCUACAGACAUACCUACUCAUUUCUAUUUUCUGGAAAAAUACUGGAAUAGCUAAAUUAAUAAAUGAUUGCAAUCAUGUAAACGAAAAUAAAGUUGAAUAACAACCCAUGUGGAUUAAUCAGGAGCAAGCUGUCAAGCCAAUCAUAUUUAUUUGUCUGAUAGAGUAACAGGUCAGACAAGGAAAUGAGGAAAAAUAGAUGUCAUGGACAUUCAUGUUAGUUAGGAUUUUGACUAUUUUACACAAUGUGUUCCAAGAAGACUAUGAAAAUAUAGCUGGAAAGCCACGCUCUGACAGUGCUUCUGUGCACAAGACACAGAACUACAGCCAGGCACUGACAUGAUGGAACCAACAGUUCAAUGGACCAGUGGUUCAAUCUCAUCUAUAAAGGUGGCCAAGGGUGAAUCCCUAGGGAACAACAGAAGAUAAAUUAAAAAAUAGAGCAAUGCUUUCUCAGAAUACUCUGCUGCAUUCAAACAGCUUGUGGCUCAGGGACAGUUUGAGCACAGGAUGAUCUCUUUGUACUCUUUCUUUAUGAAUUGGUUGGUUGCUUUUUUGAACGAGCAUAUUUUUCUGGCAUCCAAAACACCCUGUGGCAAGAAAUAGUAACAUCUUAACUUUGCAUUGUGAAAUGAACCAUGUCCAGUUGUUUUGAAUCUGACUAUUUCUGUAUAAUUUGAUUUCUCCUAGUACUUAUGUUGGAAAAGAGAAAAAAUAAAUCUUUCCCUUUUUCCCUUAUCUGUGAUGUCGUGGCAUGACAAGCUUCUACUAUAUGCUCCAUAUAGAGACUGUCUGAAGCUUCUUUAUAGUAUUGUCUUAUUUUCAUACAGAAGAUAAUUUUGAUCAUCCUCUCCCAAACUCCUCAACAAACUUGUGAUGUAUCUUCACUAUGAUGGGAGAUAAAAUUUUCCUUCUGUGCAUAGAAGUAGUAUCAGAAUGCAUACUGCUCUGCAGAAAAGGAUUUGAGUCAUUAGUAAUCAGAAACUGAAUAUGAGUCAAGAAUGGCCUCCUAUUGCAGAGAAAAAAAACUAAAACCAUACCAAUAUAAACAGAGAUGUAGUCUAUACAUUAUGUGAGGUCAUCCUUUCUGCUCUAUUCCAGUCAGGUUAUAUCUGCAGUACUCCACAGAGCACUGUUUGGUGAUGUCUGUGAUGGAGAAGAACAAAAUGAAAAUAUGAACCAGUUGGGUAAGAGCUGAGAAAAGUUCAGUAAGAAUGAUUACAGUCUACUUGAGUAAACAAGUAGUGAGGAAAGACUAAGAAAACUAGAGGUGGCUAUACUACAAAGUAUAAAAGAAGGCAAAUAGGGCAAAAAGUCUCCAAAUAUAUGUUCAAGUAAGAAAGUAUCCUGAUGUCCAUUUUGGUGGCAGGUAGGAAAAGAGGAAACUGCUUUGUCUUACAGCAAGAAAGCUCCAGGAAAAGCUUGUGAGUGGCAAGGAGAAAGUGUCUGGAGGACUGUGGGACUCCAUAAAUAAAGACCAUAAAGAUCAGGUUAAGCAGGUGUCUUCCAGGAGGAAGAUAAUUACACCAGAUCCUCUGUGGAACAAGUGGGUGAAGAGGACAUUGUCUCGAAAUACCUCACAUCUCUGGAUGCAUUACAAAAUGGAUAAUUAAGAGGACAAACAAUGCUUGAAAGUCCUUCCCUGUAAAAAACUGGUAAAUUACCAUAUGUAACUUUUUAUGCCCUAUUUAGCAUAUUCAUGAAGUUUUGUUUACAUCUCACCCAAGAUCACUGAAAAACUCACAGACCAACUGGACACUUCCCAUGUCCUAGAAAGCAAUACCAAAUACAACCUAACAAGAUAAAUAUUAUUGCUCCACUUACCUUUUUCCCUCUUGGAAGUCAUUAAUCUGGGUUAGAUUAUAUACACUGUCAGGCACUAUUCAUGCUCGUUUGUGUUUUAUUUGUUUGUUUCUUGGUUGGUUGGCAUUUUUAUUUGGAAUUAUAUCAUUAUUGCUAUCACAGCUAGCACAGCCAUCAAGUUUGGAGGAGAAGGCUCAAAGUCUCCCCUUUUCAGUUUAUAUCUGCCUCUGUUAAUGCAAAAUUGCUUUUAUUGUUUAGCUACUGAAGAGAUAAAACAGUUUAGAGAUGUUCAGUAAAUCUGUUUAUAUUUUUAUUGCUAACUUCCUCUCCUCAAUCUAAUUUUCCCUGAGGUGAUCUAGUACAGGAUAUGCUGCACUUUCCUUUCACUCUUCAGACUGCUCAGCAAAUGAUUGUUUUUUUCUGCUCUACAGGAUUUCCCACCCAGUGCAUAACCCAUUAAUAAAGUUUUGCAAGAAGCAGGAAAAAAAUAUCAGCAAUUUGUCACAUUUAAAUCCAGCAGUUUCAACAGAGAAAGGGUUAAUAAUACGUCCUUGUUUAACAUUUACUUUUUCACACUUGCAGGUCUUUGACUGAAGAACAUUAUUGCUUCAUCCAGAAAAUAAACACCCUUAGUGUUUAUAUAAUAUUUUAUAUAUUCCCAUGUGAAGUGGUAUUAAAAGGAAACACACAGCAAGGGCACAAAGGGGUUAAUGGCCUUUCUGAAGGAAAGCAUUUCUUUGGCCUUUUCCCACAGCAUUUGCCAGAAGCGACAAAUCUGGAGGAAGGGGCCUUCCUCUGAUCCUCACAGCAAAGGAGGGGAAAGAGCAGACAGCAUUAACCGGGGGUGAGGGGGGUACUCAGAGAGGAAUCCAAAUGUCCCCGGUUUAAGCAGCUGCACGUAAGUAAACCUGCUGAUAUGCCCUCAUGGCCUCAUCUCUGAUGUACACCACUGAUACCAG
rnacentral:lncRNA from 1 species